AGGCUCGGCGUUGGCCUCCGCGGCCCGUGCGAGUGCGCCCUUCUCGGGUCCCCUAGGUCGCGGGGCAGCCGGGGCGGAAGGGGCUUGUUCAUUAUUUUGAGAGUUUGUUGUGAACGUCAUAACCUUUCGUCCUUAAAUAUUGCCGAUACUUGACCUACGCAAGAGACAAUGUCAUGUGAUUCAGCCUAAUAUCUCAAUGUAAUAAGGACUUAUGAACAGAAGACAUGUCUGUGUGCCAGGCAGCUGUGAGACAAAAUCGUGGAUCUCCGCACUGUAAACCCCCAGACCCAGGACUUACAUAACCUAGGGAAAUGUUGUUUCAGAAGGGAUGUGUAGGACAGUUGAAGUACAAGAACAUCAAGGUCAUUUCACCCAAGGGCAGAAUUUAUGGAGGAUGCAGCAUUCAAGGUUCUAUCUUGGAAGCAGAGACUGUGCCCUCACCAGAUGCUGAACCUGCUGAGCACCCUGAUCUUCCACUUCACCUUCAUCAGAACUACUGCUGUGAUUGCACCUGCCAUCUUAUGCAGAAAUGACCUGAAGACAGACUGAAACAACGUGUUCUACAGCCUGAAAAUAUCUACCUUGACUUACAGUUUUAUUAAUGCUGGUGUGAUCAGACUGGACAAAAAUUAGCAUAUGUUAUUAACUGAUCUAAUUCAAGUGCCAAUUCUUAAUAGAAACACAAAACAAUAAAAGCAAUUCAGAAAA
rnacentral:lncRNA from 1 species